GUGUGUGCCAGAACAACCCUUGUGGAAAUUGGGGUACCUGUGUGGAUCAGCCAGACGACUAUCCCUACUACCGGUGCGACUGCAUCCCACCGUGGUAUGGCAGCAACUGCGAAUAUUAUGCCACUGAAACUACCACUGAGCCUCCUACCACUCCCAGUGAGU